CCUACGGGAGGCAGCAGUGAGGAAUAUUGGUCAAUGGACGAGAGUCUGAACCAGCCAAGUAGCGUGAAGGAUGACUGCCCUAUGGGUUGUAAACUUCUUUUAUAAAGGAAUAAAACGAGGCACGUGUGCCUUUUUGAAUGUACUUUAUGAAUAAGGAUCGGCUAACUCCGUGCCAGCAGCCGCGGUAAUACGGAGGAUCCGAGCGUUAGCCGGAUUUAUUGGGUUUAAAGGGAGCGUAGAUGGGUUGUUAAGUCAGUUGUGAACGUUUGCGGCUCAACAGUAAAAUUGCAAUUGAUACUGGCAGUCUUGAGUACAGUUGAGGUAGGCGGAAUUCGUGGUGUAGCGGUGAAAUGCUUAGAUAUCACGAAGAACCCCGAUUGCGAAGGCAGCUUACUAAACUGUGACUGACAUUGAUGCUCGAAAGUGUGGGUAUCAAACAGGAUUAGAUACCCGGGUAGUC
rnacentral:rRNA from 1 species